CUUGGGCCACCAUGGGGACAUUGAACACUUCCAGCCGCUACAUCCCUGCUCCACCACACUGUCUACACAGGGUUCUUUAUCAGACCAGGCCCACAGGAAGCAACAGGGAUCAAGCUUGAGCCAUGCCAAGCGUUCCUUCCACUGAGGACCGACCAGAGAGGAUUGGAGAAGCAGAGGUCCUUGAGAUCCACCAUGAAG